AGUGAACGCUGGCGGUAGGCCUAACACAUGCAAGUCGAACGGCAGCACAGUAAGAGCUUGCUCUUACGGGUGGCGAGUGGCGGACAGGUGAGGAAUACAUCGGAAUCUACUUUUUCGUGGGGGAUAACGUAGGGAAACUUACGCUAAUACCGCAUACGACCUACGGGUGAAAGCAGGGGAUCUUCGGACCUUGCGCGAUUGAAUGAGCCGAUGUCGGAUUAGCUAGUUGGCGGGGUAAAGGCCCACCAAGGCGACGAUCUGUAGCUGGUCUGAGAGGAUGAUCAGCCACACUGGAACUGAGACACGGUCCAGACUCCUACGGGAGGCAGCAGUGGGGAAUAUUGGACAAUGGGCGCAAGCCUGAUCCAGCCAUACCGCGUGGGUGAAGAAGGCCUUCGGGUUGUAAAGCCCUUUUGUUGGGAAAGAAAAGCAGCAGGUUAAUACCCCGCUGUUCUGACGGUACCCAAAGAAUAAGCACCGGCUAACUUCGUG
rnacentral:rRNA from 1 species